UACGGGGGGGGCAAGCGUUGUUCGGAAUUACUGGGCGUAAAGGGUCUGUAGGUGGCCAACUAAGUCAGACGUGAAAUCCCUCAGCUUAACUGGGGAACUGCGUCUGAUACUGGUUGGCUUGAGUGCAGGAGAGGAAUGCGGAAUUCCAGGUGUAGCGGUGAAAUGCGUAGAUAUCUGGAGGAACACCGGUGGCGAAGGCGGCAUUCCGGACUGCAACUGACACUGAAAGACGAAAGCCAGGGGAGCAAACGGG
rnacentral:rRNA from 1 species